GGCGCUAUCGUCUAACGGUUUAGGACGCAGCCCUCUCAAGGCUGAAAUACGGGUUCGAUUCCCGUUAGCGCUACAA
rnacentral:tRNA from 1 species